rnacentral:rRNA from 1 species
UACGGGGGGUGCGAGCGUUGUCCGGAAUCACUGGGCGUAAAGGGCGCGUAGGCGGCGCGGGUAGUCAACGGUGAAAGCUUGGGGCUCAACCCCGAGUCGGCCGUCGAUACUCCCGUGCUUGAGCACUGUAGAGGCAGGUGGAAUUCCGGGUGUAGCGGUGGAAUGCGUAGAUAUCCGGAGGAAUACCGAAGGCGAAGGCAGUGUCCUGGCUGGUAACUGACGCUGAGGCGCGAAAGCUAGGGGAGCGAACAGG